UGAAAAAAGUUAGAAAAACCAAUCUAAGUCAUUUUGUUUCUACACGUCAUUUAUCUUGUGCUGAAACUUUUCUUCUUCGAUUAUGGUAUUUGUUUGCUGACCUUCUUCUUUUAUUUCAGCAUCACGAAGAAGAGAGAGAUAUCAGAUUCGAAUAUCAUUGUUGAGUAAGAAGUCGAGAUCGGAGGAAGUAGUGGCGUCGGCAGACGAGUCAAGUGGACUGGUGGUCGAUCCCACCCCUAUUCGAAGCUCCUAGCCCCAAAUGUCUCUUCAGAAGGUUUCCGUAACGAGUCUGCGACAAAACCGUGUUUGGAAACAUUUGAGCAGAGGGAUGUGAUCUUGUAGCGGCUCUGGAUGGUGUUUGAUUUGAUGGAGGAGGAGUAUCAAGUCCUGAAUAGAUACAGCUCCGGUUCCUACAACUGUUGUUUUUACAUUGGAGAAGCUGCAAAUGGUUGCACAAGUUAUCGUUCCUAUUGAGAACCCACAAGACAUCAUUGUGCAGUCUGCUGGCUCUAUGGACAGAGAGCUGUUUUGAAGUUUGCUCAGUACAUUGGAGCUAAAUGCCAUUGCUGGAAAACACACUCCUGGUAUAUUCACCAAUCAGAGGCAUACAUUCUGAUUCUUACUGAUCCACGUACCGACCACCCCGAUAUUCGUGUCGCGUACUUAGGCAAGGUGUGCAACUGGUGAAGCUAGAGAAAGAUCCAUGUGCUGCAUUUUGCUUUGAUCAUCGAUCCGAAAUAACACGUUUGCUCUGGUAAAAAAGUUAGUUGAUGAGGGAACUGGGAAAACCACAUUGGCAUAGUUGAUGAUGCAAAUGAUGUUGGAAUGAUUCAAGAAGCUGACAUUGGUGUUGGAAUUAGUGGAGUCCAAAGAAUGCAGUUUAUGACUGCCCAGUUCAGGUCUCUGGAGAGAUUACUCAUGUUCAUGGAAACUGGGGCUAUAAAUGAAUAGCUCAAAUGAUAUGAUAUUUCUUCCACAAAAAUAUAGCAUUUGGUCUCACCCUCUUUUAUUCUGAGACGUUCACCGGUUCUUUUGACUGUUUGUAUGCGUCUUAAAACCUGUCACAGCUGAGCCACGAAGCUUCACUAACUAUCACCCAACUUAUCUAAGUUCCUAGACGUCCGGCAAGAACCUUCUCAUCAGUACGAAGUUUGCAACUGUAGCUUCAGCAAGUCAUUCCGUUGUAUCACCAUAUUGAGCCUUUCAAGGAAUAGAACAGGAAGCUCAUCAAAAUUGCAGGAACCAAACAAUAUGAUUCAGUCAUAAAGAGAGCAGCAAUAUAUCUGUUAAGUUUAAGAACCAGUGACUUUCUUGUCUACUACAUUAUCUGUCAACAAAUAAACUAACUUAAUAGAACUUCA